UUUAAUUUAUCAACUAAUAACCUGAACAAGAUGCAUUUGGAUCUGUUGGGAUGCAUCCACUGACACAACUGGCAAUGUUGCAGGCAUUGCUGAGAACGAUAAUCUGAAUCCUUCAAUAACGGACACCUUGAAUGAUAUUCAUAGAGUGAACUAUAUGCAUAGCUACUUAAAUUCAUUGGCAAAUGCAAUCACGGAUGGUGCAGAUGUGAGGGGGUACUUUGUUUGGUCCCUUCUCGACAACUUUGAGUGGCUAGAUGGAUAUAAGCUAAGAUUUGGACUUCACUAUGUCAACUAUACUAAUCUUCAGAGAAUACCAAAAUUAUCAGCUACCAUGUAUAAACAACUCAUGUAUAACUUCAACAUACAGCUUGAAACAAAUACUGCCCAGAACUAGUGGGAGAAGAUGAUGAAAAUCGGAGGUUUGUAAAGAUUAUUUUCAUUGCAAUGGAACUGUAAUCAUGUAAACAAGAUCUAUUAAUUAAAUAAAUAGAAAUAUUCUGUUGAAAGUUGUGUUGGAAGAGGUUAUGUCAUACUUGAAUGAUAGUCUUUAUCGACUAUAACUUGUUGGCGUAGAGACCCAAGCUAACUAGGAUCUACAACAACUCGAUUAUUGGAAUGUCCAAACUCGAGAAUGAGGUUCAAGAGAGAGCAACCAUUUCAAUCUUGCGGAUUAUAUUUUGUACUUUGUUAAAUGGUGCAGUUAUAGAAUUGACAGUUGGUAGAUUUUCAGAUGGGUAUAUUUCUAAUUUUUAUUUAUCGUAAAUUAACAGAUUUGUCGACAUUAGUACAACCAACUACAUUAGCUUGAUAUAUCAUGAAAUAAACAAUAACUAUAAGACAAAAAACAAAAUCAUCCAAGAUUCUUAUAUGAGGAACCCACAAAAUUAAGUUAUCGAAUAUAAAUAUUUCAAUAACACCAUAUUAAAGUAACAAGAAAGCGUUGAAAAGUAUAAGGGAUCAAUAAUUCAAUUAUUUCCACUUCUUUUCAUCUUUCACAGUUGCAACACACAAAAGUUUUGAGUGCUGAUUUUUUUGGUUGAAUUCCGAAUGAACCAAAAGAAGACAACUGCAACACAUUAAAAAAUGGCCCCUUUCUCAGCUUACAAAACCUUAUUGUCCUAUUUGAUUGAUGACUCAAAGGUGACAAAGCAUAAAAUUAUAUUUAGUCACUAGCGUUGUAAAAAUUCGAAGCAAAAGGCUUCCAACAACACAAAGCUUGAUAAACCAUACACACCAACAAUGAUGAAUUUUAGAUUUAUAGUAAAUGACCAAAAUGAACACAUUUUGUCAUACAUUAAAGACUAUAUCAAUUAAGUGAAAUAUAUUAAGGAUCAAAAUGAACAUAUUUGUUAUAAUCAUUUUAAUAAAGUGAAAUACAUUAAAGACCAAGAUAAAGAAUUACCCAUAUAUUAACGACCAUUUUGGUCAUUUUUGUUGGGUAUUAUUUGCCUCGAUAGGUUUUCCUUUUUCUAAAAGGGAAAACAUUAAGUCUUCAUAUUUGACUAGUCUUUUUCUUGUAAGAAAAGAUUUAAGAUUAGCUAGUCCUUUUCUUGUAGAAAAAGGUUUAGGAAUCUGAGGUUUGUUCUUUCUAACUUAAUCAACUUUCACAAUGUAGUCCUUAGGAAUUUUGAAAAUUUUGGUUAGGGUGAGAAUUUGUGGAACACAAUUGAUAACAAGUGAUAUGUUAUCACUUGUGUGAACCUCCUUGUAUUUCGAUCGAACCACGUUAAAUCUUUGUGUCUUUUGAUUUCUCAUUUGUUUUUUUACUUGUAGUCUUUCGAGGUUUGCUUCGUUUGUCUUCUUACUUGUGGUCUCUUGAGGUUUGCUUUGCUAGCUUCCGCAUGACAUUUAAUUAUUUCGGUCCUAACAAUUUUCUCAUGUUCUUUAUGUCUUUUUCCCAGGAGCUUAAAAAAGAAACAUCAAGAACCACUUCUCUCUGAGUUUUCCACUUUCACUUAACAAAUCAAAGCUGUAUGCUUCCUGCAAUGUUUUAUCACAUAUCAAUUUGCAUGUUGUUUUGUGGUUUCAAUUUCAUAGUAUCAUCAUGUCAUCAAAUAGACAACCUUAAUAUUCUCAAAGAAAAUGCUAACCAAGUUACAUCUUCAAGCAAUUUCUUGUUUGGAACAGCCUCUUCUUGUUACCAGGUACUUCCUACACUUGUUUUCUUUUUUGGGGCUGGAUUGUUGUUCUGAGUACAACUUUUUUCUUGUUUUCUCCGCAGUUUGAAGGAGCAUUUCUCAGUGAUGGAAAAGGUCUCAACAAUUGGGACGUUUUUACUCAUGAAGCUGGUCAGCUUCUAAAAUUAAUGAAUGUCAAUUUCUUUUAGUCCAUUUUUUUAUUAAUUUUGGUUACUGUUGUUGCAGGUCAUAUCAAGGAUGGAAGCAAUGGAGAUGUUGCUGUUGAUCACUACAAUCGUUAUUUGGUAAACCUAGCUAAUUGAUCAUUUGAGUUUGACUUCUUUCUAUUUUCUUUUAUAUAUAUGUAAUUUCUGCAAAAAAAAAAGAGUAUGUUUUUAUCCUGCUGAGAUGGGAUCAUCUAUAGUGAGGCACAUUGAGAUUAUUUAGAUGGUUACUGAUAAAUUUGUUUUUUUGGCCUACAGAAAAUCAACAAUAAACUGAAUAUUUUAACACAAUACUGAUAAAUUAGAUAGGAAGUAGUUAUGCUUGAACUUUUUGAGAUCAGAAUUAACUUUUCCAUGCAACAUCAUUCAUGAAGAAAAGGGAAACACCCUAAUUUGUGCUUGCAAGAGAGCAUACAUGUUUGACACAAAAGGGAAACAGUUAGAUCUAAAACUCACAUUGGUGUUAGCUUGUGUCAAAGCUGAUCAACAAAUAAGGAACUUGCAAAAUGGCAAAACUGGGGAACACAAAUUUGGUUUCUGCAACAAGUCAUAAGCGUCUCAGAAGAGUUUAUGAAUGAAUGUUAGAUCAACAUAUAUAGUGUAUUAGCAAGAAAAUAGACUCACUCGUAAAGCAUGAAUAUGAAGAAUUCUGAAUUUCUGAUGUUUGGUAAUAAAAUGAAAACAGGAGGACGUCAAGCUCAUGGAAGACAUGGGUGUGAAUAGCUAUCGUUUCUCCAUAUCAUGGGCAAGAAUUCUUCCCAGUAAGUUAUAACUGUCACUACUCUCUUCCCUUCAUUUUCAGCAAAUACUUCUUGUUGUCUUUUCGAUAGAUCAAUCUUUUUCUUUCUCGGGUUUAAAUUUGACUCAGAGGGGACAUUUGGAGAUGUUAACAUGGCUGGAAUUGAGCACUAUAAUAAGCUUAUUGAUGCACUCCUACAGAAAGGUCGGUUCUGCUUCACUUGCUAACAGUUUUAAGUUAUCGAUAUAUCCAAAAUAAAGAAAAUAAGAAAAAAUUUGGGCUCAGACGACUUCUUUAUGUUCUGUGAAUUCAGGGAUCCAACCGUUUAUCACAUUAACACAUUAUGACAUACCACAAGAACUUGAGGAAAGAUAUGGUGGUUGGCUAAGUUCACGAAUACAGUAAGUAGCUGGUCUCAUUUUACACUUUAAGGUAGUUGUAGAUUCCAUCAAAUGCUGUGACGAUGAACAAGUUAAUUUGUCUUGUGUUACAGGGAUGAUUUCAGCUAUUAUGCGGACAUAUGCUUCAAAUAUUUUGGGGACAGAGUUAAAUACUGGACAACUAUCAAUGAGCCUCAUGUCAUGGCUGUAUAUGGCUAUAGACUAGGAUCUUACCCUCCAGCUCGAUGCUCCGGUAUAUUUGGGAACUGUAGUGCUGGUGAUUCAGAAAGGGAGCCCUUCAUUGCAGCGCACAAUAUGAUCCUAUCUCAUGCAGCUGCUGUCAGAAUUUACCGUACCAAACAUCAGGUUCGUUCAAUGGCUCUAGACGGCAUGAUCUUGCAGAAUUAGUCCAAAUGGAUUACCCCUUUAGUGCAACGCUACUUUCUGGCUUGUAAAUGACAUGAAGUGAAUUUUGUUGUUAGUAAAACAGGAAAAUUGAUACUUAGAAGACUAGAGCUCGAGAAUUUAUGCUUGGAAACUAAUUCCUCCUCUAUCUAUUAAAUGGUAUAUUGUAAAAGUUCAUUAAAAGACCAUACAAUUAGUAUCAGUAACUAUUUUAUGCUGGUUUUCAGAAAAGACAAGGAGGCAUGGUUGGAAUUGCUUUGGAUAUCCAAUGGUAUGAACCAUUUAGCAAUUCCUCAGAAGACAUAGCUGCAACUGAGAGAGCUCGGUCAUUCUACUUCAACUGGUAAUCUUUCCUUAUCAGUAGUUCAAUGCUAUAAUCUGGUUUCUUGUGCAUCAGAAAGAGAGGGAAAAAAUGUUAUUUUUUUACUAUGCAGGUUUUUAGACCCUAUUAUAUUAGGAAGAUAUCCCAAAGAAAUGGUACAAAUUCUGGGAUCUAAUCUGCCAAACUUUUCAAAGAAUGAUUUGAGCAAGCUGAGUUAUGGCUUAGAUUUCAUUGGCAUCAAUUACUAUACGGCUAACUAUAUCAAAGAUUGCUUAUAUGCUGCCUGUGAACAUGGAAACACUUGGUCAGAGGGUUCCUAUUAUGUUACUACAGAAAAAGACGGUGUCUACAUUGGCCAACCUGUAUGUUUUCUCAUCUUUUAACCCACUCUGUCAAACCAUUGCUAUAUUUUUAUUUCCCCCCCCCCAACUUUAAAUGAAUCAGACAGGUGCGCCAUGGAUCUUUCUGUACCCACAAGGGAUGAAAAAAAUUGUGAUGUACAUGAGGGACAGAUUCAAUAAUACUCCAGUGGCUAUCACCGAAAAUGGUAAGAAUUUCACAUUCUGUCAUUUAGAAGCGCAGUUUAUCAAUUAAUAACUUGAACGAGAUGCAUUUGACACAAUUGGCUAUGUUGCAGGUGUUGCUGAGAACGAUGAUCUGAAUACUUCAAUAACAGACACCUUGAACGAUAUUCAUAGAGUGAACUAUAUGCAUAGCUACUUAAAUUCACUGUCAAAUGCAAUUAGGGAAGGUGCAGACGUGAGGGGGUACUUUGUUUGGUCCCUUCUCGACAACUUUGAGUGGCUACAUGGAUAUAGGCUAAGAUUUGGACUUCACUAUGUCAACUAUACUAAUCUUCAGAGAAUACCAAAAUUAUCAGCUACCAUGUAUAAACAACUAAUGUAUAACUUCAACAUACAGCUUGAAACACAUACUGCCCAUAACUAGUGGGAGAAGAUGAUGAAAAGCGGAGGUUUGUAAAGAUUAUUUUCAUUUCGGUGUCUUGUUGUUGGAAGACAGUUUAUUUGGUAAUGAAACAAAUAAGUGUUCAG
rnacentral:lncRNA from 1 species